GAAAGUUUGAUUCUUGCUUGUAUUUUUAUUUUAUGAUUGUAUGUACAUGUAUAUUUUGGUGUGGGAGAAAAGUCGAACGUUUAAGAUGUUUACUUUAGAAUGAGUGGUGAAAGAUCGCAGUAUGGAGUGUUAAUGAUUGGACUAAGGUUCGAUUUAGUAAAUUAUAAUAAGCUUGAUUAAAUUUUGUGCCAGCAGUCGCGGUUAGACUUAAAAGUUAAGUGAAAGUAUUUCAGUUGGAGUUAUUGGGGCUGUAGGCUUUAAUUUAGAUUUAUUGAAAAUAAAGGGUGAAAUUGGUUUAUUGGGAGUAGAUUUAAGUUUUAGGGUAGAUGAAAAGAGGCUCGGAAGUUCAAGAUAUAAACUAGGAUUAGAUACCCUACUAUACUUGAAGAUAAAAUUAAUGCUUGAAUAUUAUGAGUUAUGGGCUUUAAAUUCAAAGAAUUUGGCGGUAUUCUAGUCUUGUUAGAGGAACCUGUUCUGUAAACGAUAUUACACGUAGAAUCUUACUUACUUUUGUUUUUCAGUUUGUAUACCGUCAUUAUUAGAUAACCUUUAUUGAGAGAGUUAUUGAUUUAUAAAAAAUUAAAUAUAUUAGAUCAAGGUGCAGUUCAUGGGUAAGAAGAAAUGGGUUACAAUGAAAUUAAUUUAGACGUAUUGGUAAUUGAAAAAAUUGUCAUGAAGGAGGAUUUAAUUGUAAUAUAAAUUUAAUAAGUUUAUGUGAUAUGAGAACUAGAAUAUGUACAUAUCGCCCGUCGCUUCCGUUUAAGGCGGAAUAAGUCGUAACAUAGUAGGUGUACUGGAAGGUGUACCUAGAAUUAAU
rnacentral:ncRNA from 1 species